GUCUAUGGUCAUACCUGACCCUGAAUACCUCUAAUCUCUUCUGACCUGGAAAACUAACCCAGGUUAGGUCUGGUUAGUACUUGGAUGGUGGACCAUCUGGGAUACUGGAUAUUGUAGGUU
rnacentral:rRNA from 1 species